AAUAUUGGACAAUGGGGGAAACCCUGAUCCAGCAAUGCCGCGUGGGUGAAGAAGGCCUGCGGGUUGUAAAGCCCUUUCGCCUGGGAAGAAAAGCCUGGUGCUAAUACCGCCGGGUCUUGACGUGACCAGGAGAAGAAGCACCGGCCACCUCCGUGCCAUCAGCCGCGGUAACACGGCGGGUGCGAGCGUUAAUCGGAAUUACUGGGCGUAAAGCGCGCGUAGGCGGUGGCGUGAGUCGGGCGUGAAAGCCCCGGGCUUAACCUGGGAAUUGCGUUCGAUACUGCGCUGCUAGAGUCUGGGAGAGGGAAGGGGAAUUCCGGGUGUAGCGGUGAAAUGCGUAGAUAUCCGGAGGAACACCAGUGGCGAAGGCGCCUUCCUGGCCCAAGACUGACGCUGAGGUGCGAAAGCGUGGGGAGCAAACA
rnacentral:rRNA from 1 species